rnacentral:rRNA from 1 species
AUUGAACGCUGGCGGAAUGCUUUACACAUGCAAGUCGAACGGCGGCACGGGGGCAACCCUGGUGGCGAGUGGCGAACGGGUGAGUAAUAUAUCGGAACGUGCCCAGUCGUGGGGGAUAACGUAGCGAAAGUUACGCUAAUACCGCAUACGAUCUACGGAUGAAAGCGGGGGAUCGCAAGACCUCGCGCGAUUGGAGCGGCCGAUAUCAGAUUAGGUAGUUGGGGGGGUAAAGGCUCACCAAGCCAACGAUCUGGAGCUGGUCUGAGAGGACGACCAGCCACACUGGGACUGAGACACGGCCCAGACUCCUACGGGAGGCAGCAGUGGGGAAUUUUGGACAAUGGGCGCAAGCCUGAUCCAGCCAUUCCGCGUGCAGGACGAAGGCCUUCGGGUUGUAAACUGCUUUUGUACGGAACGAAAAAGCCUUGGCUAAUACCCAGGGUCCAUGACGGUACCGUAAGAAUAAGCACCGGCUAACUACGUGCCAGCCGCCGCGGUAA